rnacentral:rRNA from 1 species
UGCCAGCCGCCGCGGUAAUACGGGGGGGGCAAGCGUUGUUCGGAAUUACUGGGCGUAAAGGGCGCGCAGGCGGACGGGCAAGUCUUUCGUGAAAUCCCACGGCUCAACCGUGGAACUGCGGGAGAAACUGCUCGCCUUGAGUUCGGGAGAGGAGUGUGGAAUUCCCAGUGUAGCGGUGAAAUGCGUAGAUAUUGGGAGGAACACCGGUGGCGAAGGCGGCACUCUGGACCGAUACUGACGCUGAGGCGCGAAAGCCAGGGGAGCAAACGGGAUUAGAUA